rnacentral:rRNA from 1 species
GAUGAACGCUGGCGGCGUGCCUAAUACAUGCAAGUAGAACGCUGAAGCUUGGUGCUUGCACCGAGCGGAUGAGUUGCGAACGGGUGAGUAACGCGUAGGUAACCUGCCUGGUAGCGGGGGAUAACUAUUGGAAACGAUAGCUAAUACCGCAUAACAGUCGACAUUGCAUGAUGUUGAUUUGAAAGGGGCAAAUGCUCCACUACCAGAUGGACCUGCGUUGUAUUAGCUAGUUGGUGAGGUAACGGCUCACCAAGGCGACGAUACAUAGCCGACCUGAGAGGGUGAUCGGCCACACUGGGACUGAGACACGGCCCAGACUCCUACGGGAGGCAGCAGUAGGGAAUCUUCGGCAAUGGACGGAAGUCUGACCGAGCAACGCCGCGUGAGUGAAGAAGGUUUUCGGAUCGUAAAGCUCUGUUGUAAGAGAAGAACGAGUGUGAGAGUGGAAAGUUCACACUGUGACGGAACUACCAGAAAGGACG